GUUAUGUUGCAAAUAGUUUCAUAUGCCAAGUUGGACGAGGUGCCAUUGUACCAACUACAAGACCAACUGUUACUCCAGGAAGAAACUCCCCUCAAUGUGGGAACUCUACACAAUGGACCUUGUACAGUGGCUUCUGCUACUAUGUUAGCACUCCAUCAACGUUAGUUACCUGGUUCCAGGCUAGAUUGGCUUGCAAGGAUAUGUCUGCAGAGCUGACAAGUAUUUCCAAUGAUGAUGAAAAUGGUUAUGUAACUACUAUGAUCAGCCAAAGUCCUAUAGACUCAUUUUGGAUUGGUCUCAAUGAUUUGGAGCAAGAAACAUAUUCUUGGACUGACAUCAGCCCAAUAUCAUAUGUAAACUGGAAUGCUCGACAGCCAGAUGAUUCUUAUGGUGGUGAACAGUGUG
rnacentral:sRNA from 1 species